rnacentral:misc_RNA from 1 species
GGAUGUAAAAGUCGUAACAAGGUUUCCGUAGGUGAACCUGCGGAAGGAUCAUUACUGAGUGAGGGCCCCUCGGGGUCCAACCUCCCACCCGUGUUUAACGAACCUUGUUGCUUCGGCGGGCCCGCCUCACGGCCGCCGGGGGGCAUCUGCCCCCGGGCCCGCGCCCGCCGAAGCCACCUGUGAACGCUGUCUGAAGUAUGCAGUCUGAGACAAUUAUUAAAUUAAUUAAAACUUUCAACAACGGAUCUCUUGGUUCCG